AUUGAACGCUGGCGGCAUGCCUUACACAUGCAAGUCGAACGGCAGCAUAGGAGCUUGCUCCUGAUGGCGAGUGGCGAACGGGUGAGUAAUAUAUCGGAACGUGCCCUAGAGUGGGGGAUAACUAGUCGAAAGACUAGCUAAUACCGCAUACGAUCUACGGAUGAAAGUGGGGGAUCGCAAGACCUCAUGCUCCUGGAGCGGCCGAUAUCUGAUUAGCUAGUUGGUGGGGUAAAAGCUCACCAAGGCGACGAUCAGUAGCUGGUCUGAGAGGACGACCAGCCACACUGGGACUGAGACACGGCCCAGACUCCUACGGGAGGCAGCAGUGGGGAAUUUUGGACAAUGGGGGCAACCCUGAUCCAGCAAUGCCGCGUGAGUGAAGAAGGCCCUCGGGUUGUAAAGCUCUUUUGUCAGGGGAGAAACGGUUCUGGAUAAUACCUGGAGCUAAUGACGGUACCUGAAGAAUAAGCACCGGCUAACUUCGUGCCAGCCGCCGCCGUAA
rnacentral:rRNA from 1 species